rnacentral:misc_RNA from 1 species
AACGUAGGAGACAAACGUUAUCCGGAGUUACUGGGCGUAAAGGGCGUGCAGGCGGCAGUUUAAGUUCGGCGUGAAAGCUCCUGGCUAAACCGGGAGAGGUCGUCGGAAACUGGACAGCUAGAGGGUGAUAGAGGCGGGUGGAAUUCCGGGUGUAGUGGUGAAAUGCGUAGAGAUCCGGAGGAACACCAGUGGCGAAGGCGACCCGCUGGGUCACACCUGACGCUGAGACGCGACAGCAUGGGGAGCGAACGGG